UAGAGGCCAACUGGGUAAGUAAUCAUAAGCCACUUGCCCACGAAGACUUGCGAUAUUUCUUUGAAACGAGGACUAAUACCGGAUAGGUUACGAAUUCGCAUGAAUUUGUAAUUAAAAGGUUAGAAACACUGGUGGAUGGGCUUAUGGUGCAUUAGCUAGUUGGUGAGGUAAACGGCCCACCAAGGCGAUGAUGCAUAGCCCGGGCUGAGAGGCUGAACGGCCACAUUGGGACCUGAGACACGGCCCAGACUCUUACGGGAGGCAGCAGUAGGGAAUUUUCGGCAAUGGGGGAAAACCCUGACCGAGCAACGCCGCGUGAGUGAUGAAGGUCUUCGGAUUGUAAAGCUCUGUUGUAAGGGAAGAAUGAAUUGGAUAGAAUCCGAUUGUGACGGUACCUUACCAGAAAGCUACGGCUAACUACGUGCCAGCAGCCGCGGUAAUACGUAGGUAGCGAGCGUUAUCCGGAAUUAUUGGGCGUAAAGGGUGCGUAGGCGGCUUGUUAAGUUUAAGGUGAAAGAAUGGGGCUCAACCCCAUAAAGCCUUAGAUACUGGCAAGCUAGAGUACUGGAGAGGGUAGUGGAAUUCCAUGUGUAGCGGUAAAAUGCGUAGAUAUAUGGAGGAACACCGGUGGCGAAGGCGGCUACCUAGACAGAGACUGACGCUGAGGCACGAAAGCGUGGGGAGCAAAUAGGAUUAGAUACCCUAGUAGUCCACGCCGUAAACGAUGAAUGCUAGAUAUCGGGGUAACUCGGUGUCGAAACUAACGCGAUAAGCAUUCCGCCUGUGGAGUAUGCACGCAAGUGUGAAACAUAAAGGAAUUGACGGGGGCCCGCACAAGCGGUGGAGUAUGUGGUUUAAUUCGACGCAACGCGAAGAACCUUACCAGGCCUUGACAUCCCUUGCAAAACUCUAGAGAUAGAGCAGAAGU
rnacentral:rRNA from 1 species